AUUAAAAGAUAAAUUAAAUUUGAAUAAAUAUAAAAAAAAUUUUUAAUAUAAAAUAUUUAAUGGGGGUUAAAGUAUUUUAUAAAGAAAAAAUAAAAAUAUUUAUAGUUAAUUAGUAUUGUAUAAGAAAUUUGAAAAAUAAUGAAAUAAAAAUUUUAAUAAAAGUAAAUUUAAUUUAUUGUAUCUUGUGUAUCAGAGUUUAUUAAAAAAUAAUUUUUUAUUAAAUUAUUUCGAAUUUAAAAGAGUUAAUUAAUUAAAAAAGUUAAUAUUAUAUAAUUAUUUUUAAUAAUUAAUUGGAAAUUAAAAGUUAAUCGUUUUUAAAUAUAUCUAAUUUUUUUGGAAAAAAAUUUAAUUUUAAAUUAAUAAAAAAAAAAUAAUAAUUAAUUAAUUAAUUAUUAAAAAAAGUUAAUUUAAUAUUUUAAGGGAUAAGCUUUAAAUUAAAUGAUUAUAAUUUUUUUUAAAAAAAAUUAAUAUUUGAAAUUUUUAAAAUUUAUAUUUUUUAAAAAUUAUAAUUUAUUAUAAAUAAUUUCAUUUGAUUAAAAUUUAAUAUUAAUUUAAUUUUUUACAAAAAUUAAUAUUUAAAAUUUUUUUAAAAUAAGAAAUAAUGAUAAAAUUAGUAUAUAAAUUUUAAUAAAAAAAAAAAUUUAUUAAAAUUAAUAAAAAGGAAUUCGGCAAAAAUUUAUAUUCACUUGUUUAUCAAAAACAUGUCUUUUUGGUUAUAAUUUAAAGUCUAAUCUGCCCACUGAAUUAAUUUAAAGGGCUGCAGUAUUUUGACUGUACAAAGGUAGCAUAAUCAUUAGUCUUUUAAUUGAAGACUUGUAUGAAUGAUUUGAUGAAAUAUAAACUGUCUCUUUAUUAUUAGUAGAAUUUAAUUUUUUAGUUAAAAAGCUAAAAUUUUUUUAAAAGACGAGAAGACCCUAUAGAGUUUUAUUUUUGAGUUUUUAAAAAUAUUUUAUAAAAAUUAUAAUUUUUUAAAAAUUUAAAAAUUUUGUUGGGGUGAUGAAAAAAUUUAUUAAACUUUUUUUUUAAAAAAAAAUAAUAAAACAUUAAUUUAUGAAUUUUUGAUCCAUAAUUUAUGAUUAUAAGAUUAAAUUACCUUAGGGAUAACAGCGUAAUUUUACUUUUUAGUUCAAAUAAAAAUUAAAGUUUGCGACCUCGAUGUUGGAUUAAGAUAAAAUUUAAAUGCAAAAGUUUAAAGUUUUGAUCUGUUCGAUCAUUAAAAUCUUACAUGAUCUGAGUUCAAACCGGUGUAAGCCAGGUUGGUUUCUAUCUUUAGAAAAAUAAAAUAGUUUAGUACGAAAGGAUCAAUUAUUUUAAAUAAUUUAAUUUAAUAGAAUAUUAUUAAUAUUAUUU
rnacentral:rRNA from 1 species